ensembl:snRNA U6 U6 spliceosomal RNA
GUGCUCACUUUGGCAGCACAGAUACUAAAAUUGGAAGCAUACAGAGGAGGUUAGCAUGGUUCCUGGAUAAAGAUGUCUCGCAAACUCAUGAAGCACUCCAUUAUUUU